GUCUUCUUCUCCGAUUUGCAGACCGGCUGCUCCUCCUCCGCUGUUCAAGUCCGUUUGCUACGUUUAUGGGAGGCUAGGAAUGUCCGCCGUGGUGGAGAGCUCAUGUGAUUGGAUGAGCUCCGACAUCCGCCUUUUUGUUCAUAAAUGGAGUCUUUCACCGGCGACCAUGAUGCUGGCAACCGUGAAUGUCAACCGGCUUGCGACUCACAAGCCUCAUCUGAAAGCGUGUUUGGUUUAUUCCUUGACCGAGAUUGAAUUAUCGUCUAUCUGACUCUUCCCUGCGAAUCCGUUUUAACGACUCAACCUCUUUCAAUGAAGUUACCGGACCGGCUGCUCUGAUAGCUAUUGAAUCUUUCCGGUUCCGUAAUCACAGUGACUUGAUCGCAACAUAAACACUCAGCUCUCAGACCUCGCUGGCGAGGUAACUGCACGGAUCCUCCUCAGGACAAGAAUUUUGUUAUGGCGACCAUAAAGAUGGACAAGUAAGUUAUUUGAAGUUAGUUAUUUAAACAAAAAUAACAAAUAAUUUAGUUGCAGGGGAGAGUUUUUUUCAACAGGCAAC